rnacentral:rRNA from 1 species
GAUGAAAAGAACUUUGAAAAGAGAGUCAAAAAGUACGUGAAAUUGUUGAAAGGGAAGCGCUUGCAACCAGACCUGCCCGCGGGCGAUCAGCCGUCCCUUCCAGGGCGGUGCACGCGCCCCGCGAACAGGCCAGCAUCGGUUCGGGCGGCCGGAUAAAGGCCCGGGGAACGUAGCUCCUCUCGGGGAGUGUUAUAGCCCCGGGUGCAAUGCGGCCCGCCUGGACCGAGGACCGCGCUUCGGCUAGGAUGCUGGCGUAAUGGUUGUAAGCGGCCCGUCUUGAAACACGGACCAAGGAGUCUAACAUCUAUGCGAGUGUUUGGGUGUCAAACCCAUGCGCGUAAUGAAAGUGAACGGAGGUAGGAACCCACCAGGGCGCACUAUCGACCGAUCCUGAAGUCUUCGGAUGGAUUUGAGUACGAGCAUAGCUGUUGGAACCCGAAAGAUGGUGAACUAUGCCUGAAUAGGGUGAAGCCAGAGGAAACUCUGGUGGAGGCUCGCAGCGGUUCUGACGUGCAAAUCGAUCGUCAAAUUUGGGUAUAGGGGCGAAAGACUAAUCGAACCAU